AUAAGUCACCAAAAUAUUUUUUCCAAGACAUAGUGAUGGAUGGAUGUAUUUGGUUAUUGCGUUGUCUUCUCGUACACCCACUUCUGUACGAUUGGAUAAAAUAUUAGUGUCCUUGCMAUCAAAUGCCUUACGUGUUUUGGUUAACAUUGUAUGGUAUCAAUAUUGUCAAGUUAUAAUUAAAAGGCCAAACAGAUUGUCGGUCUUAUCCUUGUAAAAUUAGAGAAUCA
rnacentral:misc_RNA from 1 species